AUGCCCGCUAUUUGCGAUAUACUGUGAGCGGCCAAGAGAAAUCGGUUAAGCAUCCCACCUGGGGAGUACGCCCGGCAACGGUGAAACUCAAAGGAAUUGACGGGGGCCCGCACAAGCGGAGGAACAUGUGGUUUAAUUCGAUGAUACGCGAGGAACCUUACCCGGGCUUGAACUGCAGGAGAAGGAUACAGAGAUGUUGACGCCCUUCGGGGCUCCUGUGGAGGUGCUGCAUGGUUGUCGUCAGCUCGUGCCGUGAGGUGUCGGCUUAAGUGCCAUAACGAGCGCAACCCUUUUCAUUAGUUGCCAUCAGGUCAUGCUGGGCACUCUGAUGAUACUGCCACCGUAAGGUGUGAGGAAGGUGGGGAUGACGUCAAAUCAGCACGGCCCUUACGUCCGGGGCUACUCACGUGGACCGGCGGUGUGUACAAAGACUCGGUAGUUAUCAAAUGCGAUACAGUCCAUGAAGGAAUCCUCAGUUCUGAUGCGGGUCUGCAACCCGACCCCGAGAUC
rnacentral:rRNA from 1 species